rnacentral:rRNA from 1 species
CCUACGGGUGGCAGCAGUGGGGAAUCUUAGACAAUGGGCGCAAGCCUGAUCUAGCCAUGCCGCGUGAGCGAUGAAGGCCUUAGGGUUGUAAAGCUCUUUCAGGGGGGAAGAUAAUGACUGUACCCCCAGAAGAAGCCCCGGCUAACUCCGUGCCAGCAGCCGCGGUAAUACGGAGGGGGCUAGCGUUGUUCGGAAUUACUGGGCGUAAAGCGCACGUAGGCGGACGGAGAAGUCAGAGGUGAAAUCCCAGGGCUCAACCUUGGAACUGCCUUUGAAACUUUCUGUCUUGAGGUCGAGAGAGGUGAGUGGAAUUCCGAGUGUAGAGGUGAAAUUCGUAGAUAUUCGGAGGAACACCAGUGGCGAAGGCGGCUCACUGGCUCGAUACUGACGCUGAGGUGCGAAAGCGUGGGGAGCAAACAGGAUUAGAUACCCCUGUAGUC